rnacentral:lncRNA from 1 species
AGAGUGAGGUAGAGUUAAAGAUACAUUUUAACAGAAUUGUAUUCCUAAACCGAUUAAGUCAAGAAGUCCAAGAGCAUUGUUAGAUCAUUUAGAAAGUGUAGUGAUGAGGUAAAACAUUGUUGGCACAGAUUCAUGUUACUUGAUCUGCUUUAAAUGACUUGGCAUCUAGCCCAUAUUUGAGCCCAUAACCGUGUGGUAAUUUGAAGUGUAAUUCACAGUAGAGCUUCUGUUAAAGCAC